GCUUCACUCUUCCUCUGCACAGGUUUUGAUAAAUCUCCCCCAUGGUCCAUAUUUUAAGCUGACAUGUAAGUCUUUCUGGCUGAUUUAUCCUAUCUUCUCUGAACAGCAACUAAAUGUUGUUUAUUAUCACUAUGGUGACGGGUUUCACUGGUGUUAUAAGCACGUUGCAAACGUAAGCACGUUAGGGGCCUGACAAAGCGCAUCACAGCGUAAUACGGUCCGUUGCCCAUCCCCCCCCCUCCCACACCACUGCACCCUCCAGUUCUCCCGCACUGCUCGUGUCCAGCGAUCCACAUGUCUUCAGAUGAAUGAUGAAUUAAAAGCCUGAAGAUUUCAAGAUGCAACCUACCUGGGUGUCCAGACACAGACAGGUGAAUUGUGAGGGCAGGCUGCCUGGAAGCACACAGAGAUGUGGCAGGGCAGGAUAAAGCUUCAGACUGUCAGUCAGCAAUAUCUGUUUCAGGAUACAUACACAAUGAAUUCACUCCUAACACAGGAUGCUGUUUGCAGCAAAUUUACUGAAGAAAAGCAUGCUUCUAGCGACUAUAGGUCGCAUCUCCAGACACCCCUCUGCACGGCUACAUGCCGACUUCAAUGCUUAUACCUCCGCAGCAAUCCGGUCUGAUGAAGGUCCAGUGUGGACCGAAACGUCAUUAAUUUUUGGGAUUGCAAAUAAAGCUACCUUGAUUCAAUUCAAAAGUGGUGUGCGAAGUUUUAACUAAAUUACUAUAGUCACCUUAUGCUGGAUAACCCCUUUAAUUAUAUAUGGCUUUGGAAGUCUGUACAGUUUUACGCUAAUGCCAAGGCUGAUUUUUGCAUACAUUGUAGGAAAUAUUGUGGUACUACACUGACAGGGCCAGGGUC